CCAGUGACCAAAGACUUGAGCACUCAAAAAGUCCAGCUCCCCAUAGUAUUCGACAUGGACACUGGUGUGAUUGAAGGUGGAUUAAAUGUCACUCUCACCAUCUGGCUACUUAUGCAUGGGAAGGAGGUUGGCAAUAUCAUUGGAAAGAAAGGAGAAUCAGUUAAGAUGAUGCAUGAGGAGAGUGGUGCACGUAUCAACAUCUCAUAAGGGAACUGUCCUGAGUGAAUUAUCACUUUGGCCGGACCCACUAAUGCCAUCUUCAAAGCCUUUGCUAUGAUCAUUGACAAACUGGAAGAGGACAUCAGCAGCUCUAUGACCAAUAGCACAGCUGCCAGUAGACCCCUGGUCUCUCUGAGGCUGGUGGUCCCUGCUAGGCAGUGUGGCUUUCUCAUUGGGAAAGGUGGUUGCAAGAUCAAGGAAAUACAAGAGAGUACAGGGACUCAGGUCCAAGUGGUAGGAGAUAUGCUCCCCAAUUCAACUGUGCGGGCCAUCACUACUGCUGGCAUCCUGCAAUCCAUCAUUGAGUGUGUCAAACAGAUCUGCGUGGUCAUGUUGGAGUCCCCCCGAAGGGCGUGACCAUCCCGUACCGGCCCAAGCCAUCAAGUUCUCCAGUCAUCUUUGCAGGUGGUCAGGCCUAUACCAUUCAAGGACAGUAUGCCAUUCCACAGCCAGAUUUGACCAAGCUGCACCAGUUGGCAAUGCAACAGUCUCAUUUUCCCAUGAUGCAUGGCAACACCGGAUUCAGUGCAGGUUUGGAUGCAUCUGCUCAGACUACUUCUCAUGAACUCACCAUUCCAAACGAUUUGAUUGGCUGCAUAACUGGCCGUCAAGGCACCAAAAUCAAUGAGAUCCGUCAGAUGUCUUGGGCGCAGAUCAAAAUUGCAAACCCAGUGGAAGGAUCUACUGAUAGGCAGGUUACCAUCACUGGAUCUGCUGCCAGCAUUAGCCUGGCUCAAUAUCUAAUCAAUGUCAGGCUUUCCUCGGAGACGGGUGGCAUGGGGAGCAGCUAGAACAAUGCAGAUUCAUCCAUAACCCUUUCUGCUCUUCACCACCACCCAUGAUCCAUCUGUGUAGUUUCUGAACAGUCAGCGAUUCCAGGUUUUAAA